AUAAACUAACAUUUUAAAAGUGAUUUUUUUUUUAAUUGAUACGGAGACAGUUCAGGGGUUCUCAAACUGGGGGUUGGGACCCCUCAGGGUCAUAAGGUUGUUACCUGGGGGGUUGCGAGCUCUCAGGCUCCACCCCAAGCCCUGCUUUGCCUCCAGCAUUUAUAAUGUUUAAAUAUAUAAAAAAGUGUUUUUAAUUUAUACGGGGGGGUCGCACUCAGUGGCUUGCUGUGUGAACGGGGUCACCAGUACAAAGGUUUGAGAACCAUUGAGAUAGAUGUAUCCAGAUCUCCCAUCUGAGGCCUUUUCUAAAUAUGGAACUUGAUUUCAUUUGAUUAUCAUUUUUGAAAUUGUAUUUGAAAAAGUGUUGUUUAGAACAUGAAUGACAGAAAAAAGUGACCACUUACUGUCAGUUUACCAAAGGUAUGCUUUUUAGGGUUCUUUGUGGUCUGAGACUCUAGUAGUAAAACUUUCUGCAACAUUAAGUUUUCGGAGAACAUUCAACUCUCUUGAUCUAAGGCUGGUAAUUGCUUGUCUUGGUGUAGGUGAAGAUGGAGAUAGCAAGUGAACUUGGCUAAUCUUGUGGCCAGUACUCACUUCAGUUGAUUAUAGAAUUGCUCAUCAUUAUGUAAUUGAUCCCUUUACAGUCAGGGUUUCACAAAUGUAUCACAUGGCUGUAGAAUGAGUAAAAUGCUCUGAAUUUGUACAUAUAGAACAGUGAUUCUCAAUGUGGAGGUUGCUUGCAGCCCAAUCAGCACACAGCUGCGGCCCAUGUGAUAUCUUCAGGGCCAUAUAGGUAGUAUAUAUGUUGUGUGGAUGGGGCCCACAAUGGUAAAUAGGUUGAGAAUUACUGAUAUAGAGCGUAAUUCCCAUAGUCUGUUUAAAAAUUACUCUUAGCUGUGGUUCGUUGUUUAGUAUUGGAAGUCUUAAUUUAAAUUGUAAUAUACUUGUCUGAUUGCUCUUCUGAUAGGCUAGGAAGAACAGUUUUUUAAAUACCUAAAUGCUGAUAAGAACUUUUUCAUAAAUAUUCUGAAAGUGAAUUCUGCAGGGUCUCUGCAGUUCCACAGUCGGGGAGAGGGGAAAACAAGGGGGAUUAGACAUCAUUUUUAACUUCUCAUAAGCAGACCUGAAAGUUAGUAUCUCCUGUGAUCCAUAAAUACAGAUGAAAAGGGGAACUGUCAUAAUUGUCUUCAGGUCAUGAAUGGAUUGUGGCUUGAAACCUUGAACUUGCUGAGACCACCUUAGAGCCAUGUAGUUCUAGUCAUCCAGAAUUCCUAAAGACGUACAGGGCCCGAUCCUGAAGUCAGCGGAAGUUUUGCCUGAACAUGGACUGUAGGAUCUGGCUCAAAUUGGAUGUCUCAAUUAACAUAAGACAAGGAAUCAUUGCAUUCUUCCAGUCUGUUAAAAGGAUUGGUCUUUAUCUGAUCAGUUUGGAAUCCAAGGUCUGAUCUUGUUUUCAGUUCUUAGUAAUAUGAGGACUGUUAAGAUUGGGCUUCUAGUCAGAAUGUCUUAUGUAACUUACAGUACAUAUCGUGUGUGCUAGAUCAUGCUGUCCUUUGGAAUAUUUUAUUAUAUGUAUUGCAGUAGUGCUUAGUAGCCACAUCUGUUGUUAGUGUUAAUGUAAUAAAAUGGUCUCUGGAAUACAGACUCUAACUCAACAUUUUUUUUUAAUGUGGGGAGUCCCCACACCUCUCUCCAGUGGGCACAAAGAACAUGCUAGAUGCGGGCAACAGAUAAGCCCUCUGUUGUCCCGAGUCUUAGCAUUAACUAAGGUCUCUAUCUGGUAGGAUUGUGAAGAAAACCUUUAAAAAAAAAUUACCAGUAUUCACUGAUAUAGCAGUGUCUACAUGAGUUUGCAGAAAGCAUGAUACAAUAGCUGUUUGUGAAAUGCCCUAUUCAUUUCAAUAGGUGCUAACUCAAAUUCUGAUUAUACUUUAAAAGGCAAAAUUAAUUGCUCAUCAAAAAUGUAAGAAAGGAAACUUGUGAAAAUCUACUGUAUUGUCUCAUUUCAGGAAAGCUUUUAACAAUACAUGAUAAAGUUGGAGGGGCUGUGUUUGGUUUUCUUUUUCUAAAGAGGUGGGUGGGAGUUGGAUUUGGCAUUGAGAAGUUCAGGAAAUGUUGUUGUAACUUGAUGACUGUUCAGAAAUACUGUAUUUUGCAAAAUGUCAUGUAAUGUUUGCUAUUAACUUGUUGGAAAAAAAAAUUAAGUUGGUAGACAACUUCAAUUUCAGUGUUCACGUUAUAAAGACCUUUACUUAUUCCACCAUUAGCUGUUCUGAAGCAAAGUUUUUUAAGUCUGACAAAUUACAAGAAAAACUAACUCUUGGGUUUUUGGGUUUUUUUAAGUUCUUCUCGCAUAAUGGAGACAAUAAAAAAACAAAUGAUUGAA